UUAGGUCGACCCGCUGAAUUUAAGCAUAUCAUUAAGCGGAGGAAAAGAAACUAACAAGGAUUCCCCUAGUAGAGGCGAUCGAAGAGGGAAUAGCCCAGAACCGAAUCCUGUAGACUUGUCUACUAGGAAAUGUGGUGUUUGGUUCAAGCCUUACGGCACAUUGGAGUUGUUCUAAGUCCACGUGAUUGUGGCAUCAAGCCCAAAGAGGGUGUAAGGCCCGUAUGAACAAUACAGUGUGUCCAUGGUUUGUUCCUAGAGUCGGGUUGUUUGGGAAUGCAGCCCAAAUUGGGUGGUAAACUCCAUCCAAGGCUAAAUACAACACGAGUCUGAUAGCGAACAAGUACCAUGAGGGAAAGUUGAAAAGAACUUUGAAGAGAGAGUUCAAUAGUGCGUGAAACCGCUCGGAGGUAAACAGGCAGAGCUGAAGAUUUGUGUAUGCAGUGAAGUUCUACUUGUGCUAUCUUUUGUUUAUACGAUCUUUUCGACGUAUUGCUUAAGUAGAGUGUGAGUAUUGCUUUGUUGUGUGCACUAAACACUACAACCGGUAGUUAAUAAGGCCUGGCGUUCAUUGAAGGUAGCUCCGGAUUUUAUUUGGAGUGUUAUAGCCUUGGACCAUAGCGCCUUAUGAGUACUGUUGAGCAUUUUAGUCAUUAAGGAGCAAUAUGUGUCAUUUCUUUUGUAGGUUGGUAUGGCUCAUCAUUAAAGAUGUACCAUGUCACGAAACUUUAGAAUGUGGUGCCUCUGCUGCCCUUAGGCAAGUUGUAGUGAAACUGUAGGCAUCUGCCUGACCCGUCUUGAAACACGGACCAAGGAGUUUAGCACAUGCGCGAGUCAUGGGGAUUUACGAAACCUAAAGGCGCAGUGAAGGUAAAGGCUUAUUUUAUAAGCUGAGGUAGGAUCUUAAGCUUAAUGUGUGCCCUGCAUACAUAGGCUGAGCGCACUACCAGCUCGUCUCAUGCUUUUCAAGCGAGGCGAAGCAAGAGCGUAUGUGCUGAGACCCGAAAGAUGGUGAACUAUGCUUGUGUAGGUUGAAGCCAGAGGAAACUCUGGUGGAGGACCGUAGCGAUUCUGACGUGCAAAUCGAUCGUCAAACAUGAGUAUAGGGGCGAAAGACUAAUCGAACCAUCUAGUAGCUGGUUCCCUUCGAAGUUUCCCUCAGGAUAGCUGGCACUCGGGAAACAAACAGUUUUAUCCGGUAAAGCGAAUGAUUAGCAGUAUUGGGGAUGAAAUAUCCUCAACUGAUUCUCAAACUUUAAAUGGGUGAGAAGCUCAACUCUCUUGAAUUAUGGAGUUGGGCAUUGAAUGUGAGUGCCUAGUGGGCCAUUUUUGGUAAGCAGAACUGGCGAUGUGGGAUGAACCAAACGUCUGGUUACGGAGCCAAACAUGACGCUCAUGAGAAACCACAAAAGGUGUUGGUUGAUUUUGACAGCAGGACGGUGGCCAUGGAAGUUGGAAUCCGCUAAGGAGUGUGUAACAACUCACCUGCCGAAUCAACCAGCCCUGAAAAUGGAUGGCGCUGGAGCGUCGGUCCUAUACCAGACCGUUACCGCAAUGUAUGUGCAUGUACGUGGUAACGAGUAGAAGGGCGCCGUGGUGAGCAUUGAAGCUUCGGUCGUGAGACUGGGUGGAGCCGCCACGGGUGCAGAUCUUGGUGGUAGUAGCAAAUAUUCAAGUGAGAACCUUGAAGACUGAUGUGGAGAAGGGUUCCUGGUGAACAGCA
rnacentral:rRNA from 1 species